UACGUAGGGUGCGAGCGUUAAUCGGAAUUACUGGGCGUAAAGCGUGCGUAGGCGGUUCGCUGUGUCCGAUGUGAAAGCCCCGGGCUUAACCUGGGAAUGGCAUUGGAAACUGGCGGGCUUGAGUGCGGCAGAGGGGGGUGGAAUUCCGCGUGUAGCAGUGAAAUGCGUAGAUCUACGAAGGAACGCCAAAAGCGAAGGCAGCUCUCUGGGUCCCUACCGACGCUGGGGUGCGAAAGCAUGGGGAGCGAACAGG
rnacentral:rRNA from 1 species